GUUCUAGUAGCUUAAACUAUUAAAGCAUUGUUCUUGUAAACCAAAGUAGGGUUUAACCCCUAGAACA
rnacentral:tRNA from 1 species